GAUGAACGCUGGCGGCGUGCCUAAUACAUGCAAGUCGAGCGAACAGAUAAGGAGCUUGCUCCUUUGACGUUAGCGGCGGAUGGGUGAGUAACACGUGGAUAACCUACCUAUAAGACUGGGAUAACUUCGGGAAACCGGAGCUAAUACCGGAUAACAUAUUGAACCGCAUGGUUCAAUAGUGAAAGGCGGCUUUGCUGUCACUUAUAGAUGGAUCCGCGCCGUAUUAGCUAGUUGGUAAGGUAACGGCUUACCAAGGCAACGAUACGUAGCCGACCUGAGAGGGUGAUCGGCCACACUGGAACUGAGACACGGUCCAGACUCCUACGGGAGGCAGCAGUAGGGAAUCUUCCGCAAUGGGCGAAAGCCUGACGGAGCAACGCCGCGUGAGUGAUGAAGGUCUUCGGAUCGUAAAACUCUGUUAUCAGGGAAGAACAAAUGUGUAAGUAACUGUGCACAUCUUGACGGUACCUGAUCAGAAAGCCACGGCUAACUACGUG
rnacentral:rRNA from 1 species